rnacentral:rRNA from 1 species
UGGGGAAUAUUGCACAAUGGGGGAAACCCUGAUGCAGCGACGCCGCGUGAGUGAAGAAGUCAUUCGUGAUGUAAAGCUCUGUCAGCAGGGAAGAAAAUGACGGUACCUGACCAAGAAGCCCCGGCUAACUACGUGCCAGCAGCCGCGGUAAUACGUAGGGGGCAAGCGUUAUCCGGAUUUACUGGGUGUAAAGGGAGCGUAGACGGUGAUGCAAGUCUGGAGUGAAAUGCAGGGGCCCAACCCCUGAACUGCUUUGGAAACUGCGUGACUGGAGUGCAGGAGAGGUAAGUGGAAUUCCUAGUGUAGCGGUGAAAUGCGUAGAUAUUAGGAGGAACACCAGUGGCGAAGGCGGCUUGCUGGGGCUUUACUGACGCUGAGGCUCGAAAGCGUGGGGAGCAAACAGG